rnacentral:rRNA from 1 species
UGGGGAAUAUUGGACAAUGGGCGCAAGCCUGAUCCAGCCAUGCCGCGUGUGUGAAGAAGGUCUUCGGAUUGUAAAGCACUUUAAGUUGGGAGGAAGGUCAGUAACCUAAUACGUUGCUGAUUUGACGUUACCGACAGAAUAAGCACCGGCUAACUCUGUGCCAGCAGCCGCGGUAAUACAGAGGGUGCAAGCGUUAAUCGGAAUUACUGGGCGUAAAGCGCGCGUAGGUGGUUAUGUAAGUUGGAUGUGAAAUCCCCGGGCUCAACCUGGGAACUGCAUCCAAAACUGCAUAGCUAGAGUACGGUAGAGGGUGGUGGAAUUUCCUGUGUAGCGGUGAAAUGCGUAGAUAUAGGAAGGAACACCAGUGGCGAAGGCGACCACCUGGACUGAUACUGACACUGAGGUGCGAAAGCGUGGGGAGCAAACAGG